UUUUUAUUUCCACAUACACAAUUUGACACCAAAUGACCAUUUCACCCUAAACCCAAUUAAAGAAUCACAAUCACUGCCUCUCAACAUCAAUCUCUCUCACAUCCCGAUCUUUCUCUCCUCUGUGUGCCGUCUCUCUCUCCUUUCUCUCACCUCCGAAAAUCCUCCACUCGAUCGAGUGCGAGCUGUGCUGCAGAUCCCAAUUCUGCGGUUCGAAUCUCAUCUCUAGGAGUAUAGAAGAUGGGAUCAAGUGGCAGUAAAGCCACGUCGUCGUCGUUGCUCGACGAUAGUGGUUGGAGGCGACGAUCCAAAUCCAUCACCGAUAGAGUGUUCCACUCGUCUUGUCUUGGAAUCAAAUUUUGAUCUAGCCACAGAGUCGAUGACAAACAGAUCGAACGUCUCAAGCCGAAGGAAUAAAGUAAAGUCAGUCGGUUUGAGACUUUGA
rnacentral:lncRNA from 1 species